rnacentral:rRNA from 1 species
AUGGUUUCUCACCACCGUUUUAGAUCAUUGCGCCGCCAAGCAAGUCUUCUCCAUCCCUCCUUUCGCCGUGCACCGGGAGAAGGGACAGCAGGCCUCCGGAACCCCGCCUCUCGUGAUCCUGUAUGGGAGAGGGGCGAUCAGGUUUUUGGGGAACGCACUCGCGCGACUGCUGGCAGCGACGACUUCUUCCCCGACCUCGGCAACCUCAUCCUCGCCGACAUGGGCGACAACGUCAACGCCGGCGGUGCUGCUCCCACUACACCGUAUGUGAUUCUAUCCUUCCUGUUCGAGAUCGUGGUAGAAUUCAUGUUUCUAGUAUGUGCCCUAGAUGUGAUCUGUUCAUCUACUAUGCUAGUUCGCAUGAUUAGUUUAAACUCUACUAUUGCUGUCAUGAUCUAUUUCCUAUUUAUUCGGAUUAAAUCUCGUAGUAAUUUGCUCAUAUUUUCAACAAUCCAAAAACCUGAUUAUAGGCAAUUUACUCCGAGUGGUUUUGCUGCGCAUCUGAAGCCGCCUGCCUUUAAGGGGGCGCAAUAUAAGAGGUGGCGCACGAGAGCAGUCUACUGGUUUCAGACCAUGGGUUGUUAUGACGCCACCAAGGGCAAGCCUGAGGGCGAUCUUAAUCCAGCACAUCUGGAAGCUUUUGAGAAGAUCGAUACUCUCUUUAAAGGCGCUCUUCUGAGUGUUCUUGAUGACUCCAUUGUGGAUUCGUAUAUGUCGUUUCACAACGGCAAGGACAUGUGGGCUGCGCUCGAGGCCAACUUUGGUGCCUCGGACGCCGGCAGCGAGUUGUACGUCAUGGAGCAAUUCUAUGACUACAAGAUGACUGAUGAGCGCUCUGUUGUACAACAGGCUCAUGAGAUACAGUCGCUCGCAAAAGAACUUGAGUACUUCAAGUGUGUGUUGCUGGACAAAUUUGUUACCGGAGGCAUCAUUGCCAAGCUUCCACCUUCGCGGAACAAUUUUGCUACUUCCCUGAAACACAAGAGACAGGAGUUUUCUGUUGCGGAUCUCAUUGGUACUCUUGAUGUUGAAGAGAAGGCGAGAGCAAAGGACACACGUGCUCGAGUUGCUGAGGGAGCUUCUAGUGCCCACAUGGUACAGAAGAAGAACUUCCAGCCCAACAAGUUCAAAAACAACAAGAACAAAACUCAGGGCAAAGGCAAGUUUGAUACAAAGAACAAGCCAUCACAUUCUACCAACUUCAAGAAGAAUUCUCAUAAGAAGGGGAAGGGACUUUGCCAUGUCUGCGGUAAUCCUAAUCACUGGGCUCCGAAAUGUCCUAACCGCUUUGAGGAGCGCGAACAUGAGAAGAGCGGCAAGUCCACUAAUGUUGUCAUCGGUGAUACUGAUAUGAAGGAAUCUGGGUACGGUAUUCUUCCUACCAUCCUUUCAGUAUUUCAAUCUCCUGAUUGGUUAAUUGACACCGGUGCUAAUGUACAUGUUUGUGCUGAUGCCUCCAUAUUUUCUUCUUACCAGGUCACAGGGACUUCUCCCGUGCUGAUGGGGAAUGGGUCACAUGCCAUCGUUCGAGGAGUUGGUACGGUCGAUCUGAAGUUUACUUCGGGGAAGACUGUGCGUCUGAAGAACGUUCAUCAUGUGCCGUCCAUCAAUAAAAAUCUCGUUAGCGGUUCCCGUUUAUGUCGAGAUGGUUUUAAGUUGGUUUUCGAAUCCAAUAAAGUUGUAAUUUCUAAGUGUGGACAAUUUUUUGGAAGGCUAUGA